rnacentral:lncRNA from 1 species
AGAUACAUCUGGUCCAAUGAACAUCUGAGACAGAUAGCUGAACCACAUUUGUGGUGAUGAAAGGUUUGGUCAGAAAAGGAGGCUGGGCUGUCGUGUCAUGAGAGAGCCACAAUUCUUCAAACAUAUUUAACUGCUGGAGAGAAUGGCUCAGAAUCCCAGGUAUCAGCUUCAGCACACAUCUCUUCUUGGCCCUUGACAGAAGAAGCAGAGUAACUUUUCUUAGGUGGCAUAAUUCUUCAAAAUGUGUUCAUUUUGAAGAACAGGGGUGAUGGAUGGUAAUACACAGGCAGGGAUCAACAGUCCCAGAACUGAAGGAAGAGUUGACAAAUGUAUCAAAGAUGCCUAAUCAAAAUGUGUCCACAUUCUGCUAAAUAAAUUCUGGUUGAGCAGAACUAACAAAA